rnacentral:rRNA from 1 species
CUAUACAUGCAAGUCGAGCGGACAGAUGGGAGCUUGCUCCCUGAUGUUAGCGGCGGACGGGUGAGUAACACGUGGGUAACCUGCCUGUAAGACUGGGAUAACUCCGGGAAACCGGGGCUAAUACCGGAUGGUUGUUUGAACCGCAUGGUUCAAACAUAAAAGGUGGCUUCGGCUACCACUUACAGAUGGACCCGCGGCGCAUUAGCUAGUUGGUGAGGUAACGGCUCACCAAGGCAACGAUGCGUAGCCGACCUGAGAGGGUGAUCGGCCACACUGGGACUGAGACACGGCCCAGACUCCUACGGGAGGCAGCAGUAGGGAAUCUUCCGCAAUGGACGAAAGUCUGACGGAGCAACGCCGCGUGAGUGAUGAAGGUUUUCGGAUCGUAAAGCUCUGUUGUUAGGGAAGAACAAGUACCGUUCGAAUAGGGCGGUACCUUGACGGUACCUAACCAGAAAGCCACGGCUAACUACGUGCCAGCAGCCGCGGUAAUACGUAGGUGGCAAGCGUUGUCCGGAAUUAUUGGGCGUAAAGGGCUCGCAGGCGGUUUCUUAAGUCUGAUGUGAAAGCCCCCGGCUCAACCGGGGAGGGUCAUUGGAAACUGGGGAACUUGAGUGCAGAAGAGGAGAGUGGAAUUCCACGUGUAGCGGUGAAAUGCGUAGAGAUGUGGAGGAACACCAGUGGCGAAGGCGACUCUCUGGUCUGUAACUGACGCUGAGGAGCGAAAGCGUGGGGAGCGAACAGGAUUAGAUACCCUGGUAGU